ACGGACAUCAGUUUACCACUUACCACGCAAAUUCACUUGAGAUGUACAUGUCAAACAGUACAGUAGAGAUUAUUGAAAUGCCACAAGCAGUUCACCAUUAUAGUGCAUCACUACCAGUUCAACCAUUUUACAAAUUCAGACAAAACUAGAUGCUUUUAAAAUUGUAGAGUCGUUGAAGGCCUUGUUGCAUGAAGCAUAUAGUAAAACCACUACAGGAAAUACGUUAGGAAAGAGGCUUCAUAGUCAUCUCCACUACCAAAACAGGACAAGGCCUCAAUUUGAAAAAGGCAAGACAACAUUUGAUUAAAAAAUACAAAUCUGUCCUUUAUUGCAGUCAACAUGUAGAGGCAAAAAGUCCAGACAGGUCAUUGUGACCAGAGGAGCAGUCGAAUCAGACUUCAGUCGUAUGGGAUACUACAGGGAGAAGAAACAAAAACCUUUUUAAUUGCACAUUUGUUGUCUGAAAUCCUACGGUAUGCCACUGCUCCAGGCAGAGCUGUUCAACUUCAACCAAACAAACAUUUGUGACUACAGGUAUAGAUUUGUUAGAGACCUGCCAGGCUGCAUUUUUAAACAUUAACGUGUGACCAUGCCAAACCACAACACUCAAAGUUCCUAGACCCUUGCACUGAAUCAGAUUCCUUGUGAAUACAUUUUUAAGAGCAAACGGUUUGGACCAUCCAAGUGGUUCCUUGUAUAAUCAUAACUCCCUUACCAGUAGUUCCAGUGUGGGCAGCCACAGCACCCUCACUUGCAUCAUCUUGCGAUUACGCACAAAUAGAAAGGGACACCGUCAAAAGGGGGGCGCAAACAUUCAAAGUGUUCCAUCAAAACAGACAUGCACUGAUGUCCUUACCGGUAGCUGCAGUGCGGUCAGAUGUAGUUGGUGGAUUUGGUGUUGGGGUGGUAGCCACAGCAUCUUCACUUGCUCCAUCUUAGGAUAAACAUACAAGAGUCAACAUUUAACAAACACAAUCAAGACUCAACAGAACCCAUAAAUAUCGUUAAAAGGAAACCUCACCACCAGCUUCAGUAGGGGCAGAGGUGGUCUGGUUGUGGGGAACGGCUGUUGUGGUGACAACCACAUCAUCACUUUGGCGGUCAACUGCAGAGGCCUUAAAGUUCACAUCUCUCUUCGGAAAACCGAAUGCUGAGGAAGACAAAGCGAGUGACUAUUUCAGACAGAAUUUCAAGAUAAAACACAACCAACAGAAACCAGAGGAAAACUUACCAUUACAGACACAAGCAAUGAGGACACACACAACCACCUUUGUAAAUGAAGCCAUGUUUAACAAUCAAUAAACAACAACGGAAGGGAUAACUCCA
rnacentral:lncRNA from 1 species